CCGGCUGCUCUCCUCUACAUUCGGUGGCCUUGGGAACACCAAAGAUGUGGCCUUGGCAACACUUGCACAUCGAGGUCAAGAGGCCAGGAAGAGCAUCCUGCCUUCUAAAUCCUUUGAAGUUUACUCAAAAUUCUCAUCCUGAACUGGACUUUUGGACUCAACAACAAAAGGGAUGACGCUGUGUUUCAGAGGAAUUCAUAAGCAGAAUUGAAUUUGUUUUAGUUAACUCCUUAUUUGAUUGGAAUAUUGUCGACUUAACAAAAUAGUAGAAAGAGCAUUGGGCUGAAGUGAGAAGAUUUGAGUUCUAGUCCAAAAUCUGUUACUAACCAGCUCUUUGACCCUGAGAAGUCAUUUGACUUGAAUUAUAGUCUUUUUCUUAUAUGGGAAAGGUGGAGUAUACUCAGAGUCUCUCCUAAGUGCUAAGAUUCUGUGAUUCUAUGAAAUCAGACCAUCAGAGAGGAAUACUGCAGUGUUCUCCUGCAUGGGUUGUAAAUGAGAAAAAAGAAAGAAGGAGAGCAAAAUGACUUAAAGACAUUUUCAAGAAAAAAAGAGGAGAGAAGUCACUGAAAUGGAAAAAUAAACAUAUUAUAUAACUAUUUAUUGCGCUAUGCAAUAAAAACAUCUUCAGCAACAGCCACACAAGUGCGGGUGGAGGGUCUGCUUUGAAGAGAGAAAAAAGGCUGCUGCAGAAAAAACAAACCUCAAUUCAUAAUUGGAGCUUUUGUUCUUUCUGGAUUGUUUUGUGAAGAAUAUGCUGCCAAAAAACAUUUUUCUUCUGUAACCGCUUCUUUUGAAACUCCAUUCUUUUUUAUUUCAAGGAUGUUUAUUAUCUACUCAUUUCUUUUUAUUUAUUUUUGAAUCAUACACCCCAAUGUCUAGAUGACUGGGACCACUAGGUUUCAUAUUUCCCAGAUGAGAUUAGUUGUACAGUUCAUUUUGCAGGUUUAUUCAGAGCAUUUCAAUGGCAUUUCACCUACGGUUCACUUAUAUUUAGUCCUAAGAAAUUGAAGGUGUUUCUUGAUAGUUUUCCUGCUCCAUCUUCUUCCAGGGGAUUGAUUUGGCUUCUUAUGUUUUUGUAUUUGGUUGCUCAUUAGAGAUAAGCCUGAUUAUUUGCCAUUGUGUAUUUUCUCUGUUUUAAAAAGGGAAAAUACAACAUGUUAUUAAUUAUUAUGAUAUAACAAAAAAUGGAGAGAAGGAAAAAGAUUUUCAUCCUGACACUUUGAGUCAUUUUAAGAAUUUUCAGCUUGCUUUGUCAUUUGUUUCUUUAAACUCAAGAGAUUUGGUUUCUGAAUUUGAAUAAUCUUCAAUACACUGCAUGCUGAUUCACAGGUCUCCAGUAAAACAACUUGAAAAACUAAAAAAAGGAUCGAGUGGCAUCAUCUGUGAAUAUAAUGUCCCAAUCAUCUACAAAUUGCCUUUUAAAAAGAAAAGCCAUUUCAAAUGUAUAUGAGCAUCAUGUAACAAAAAUAUUAAUAUUUUAGCUCUGUGCUCAUUUCAACUUAUAGAAAACACCUCAUUCCCCCCCCCCCCAAAUUAUUACUUAGUUCUAAAGCUAGAUAUAUAAAAUUUUAGGAUGAAACCAGAUUGAACAAAUUCUGCAUCCUUGAAAAUACAUGAACACUGCAAAUAAUGAUACAAAUUCUCAGCAUUACAAUUUGUUUCUAGCUACUUAAUAAUGACCUGGAUUGAAAAUUAAAAUAGUAGUAUAGAUAAUCAAAAUAGGGACAAUGUAGUGCUUUUUCUCUAAUCAGUUUAACUGAAUAAUGCAUAGAUUCAGUAUCCAGAAGGAAUAUCAUCAACAAAAUUGCAAAGUUACCAGGCUUCAGGGCACAAUAGGACUUAAUUGUUUCUGGAUAUGAAGCUCCUGAUAGCAUCAUAAGAAUUUUAACUAGCAUUUUUGCUUAUUGCAGUGGAAAUUUAACUGUGCUGUAUAGGUAUACAUCACUAAAAAUAAGACGAAAAAAAGACGAGAUGGCAUAUACAGAAUCAAUAGCCCUCAGACGUUUGAAUGCAGGAUGCAGCUGCUUUCUUGCAGAAGAAUAUGUGGUGGUAUGAUUUAUGGUCCCCCAUUCCUAACAGUUUAUUCUAUUAGCCUGUUAUUGAUAGUCGAAAUGCAGUACAUUAAUUAAGAUGGUUUUGAACACAGGUAAUAGAAAGUCCAACUCAAAUUAUUUUAAAUGUAUUGUCCCAUAUAGAAAGUGCAGCAGUACGGUUAGCCAUUAAUGUUGGUUGAUUCACAGGUUAACUGUGUGAUCAAGACCAGGUUAACACCAUCAUUCUGUUCUGCUUUUCUGAGUCCACUUGGUUUUUGGCCUGUCUCAUCAAUGAUGUAAGAUGACUUUUUGGGGGGAUGCUGGCCUUUGGAACCCAGCCACCUGGGGAAAACCACCAGAUGGGUGUGGGAAAACCCAGGCUGCGUGGAGAGGCUACAUGUAGGUGUUCAAACCAACAGCUUCAGUAAGUUUUAGUUGAUAGCCAGCAUCAACCACCAGAGUGAAUAAGCUUUCUACUGAGUCCAACUCCCAGCCUUGGAGUCUCCCAGUUGAGGUCUCAGAUAUUGUAGAGAAGAGGCAAGGCAUCCCUCCUAUGCUCUGCUGAAUUCUUGACUCACAGACACUCUAAGAGAUGAUAAAUAAUUGCUCUUUUCAGCCCGCUGAGUUUUGGGCUGAUUUGUUAUACAGCAAUAGAUAACUAUUGCUAUUGCUAUAUGUUUCAUUGUUCACGUGCAGUGUAUAGGGGGGAGAGAGGAAGAGAGAAUGAAACUAUGAUAAACCAUUCUCCACUAUGAAAUUACAGUCUUUCUGUUCUGUCUGAUUGAGUCAACUUGGUCUUAUGCCCACUCCUAGACCAGUAGCAGUUAUCAGAGAAAGCUGUGCAUUGGUUUGUUUGGAAUAUUUGAGGUCUCUCUCUUGAAGCUGCGAAUGGAGCCAGCUUCCUUGGCAUCACAAGCUGUUUAGGGGUUAGUUACAUACUUGAACCAAAUAUAGUUAAAAAGGAGAAAAAGGAAAUGAAAGGUGAGUUAGGCAAAAAUGCCCACUACAUGCAAAUAGAAAAGGGUUUACAAAUGUUAAAGUACCCUGACGAUUUUCCUGCAUUACUAUAUGAUAAAAAUUUAAUUACAGAAAACUUUUAGUAUUGAAGCAUAAAUCAAUAUUUAUAGAGUAGCUUUUGUAUAGAGGCACUGUAGCAAUUUCAAGGAAUUGAUGAUUAGUUAAACAUGAAUCUUGCUCUCCAAGAGCUAUAUACUAGAGUUGGAAAACAAAAAAGUGAAAGCAAAAUACAAAUUAAGUUACAGGGUAGUUUAGAAAAGAGAGGACUCAUUUCAACUUAAGGUCAAUCAGGGGAGGCUUUUUGGAGAAGCUGGCCUUUGUCCUGAGAGAAUGAGUCAAAUUUGGAAUUAUGGAGAAUGAUAGAAAAGGGAUUCUAAGCAGAAGGAAGAGCACAUGCAGAAACGUGGAAACGGGAAAUGUAUAAAGUCUGAGAAUAGCACAGACAAAUUAGAAAAUACAAGUGGGGCCUUAUAUUGACUUCUUAUAGUGCUUUCAUCAUUAAAGAAACUUGUAUGGUAUUAGUGCAGGAAAGGGGAAAAAAAGAUCUAAUGAACAAAUAACCAAACAAGCUAACCAAUCAAAAAAACAAACAAACAAACAAACAAAAAAAAACCCAGAAGCACUUAUAGAAACAUUCCCACAUAUAUGUGGAAACUUGGUAUAUAAUGGAGGACAUUAAAUUUCAGAGGAGAAAAGGUCUAUUCAAUCAAGAGUGCUGAAAUAGUUAUCCAAAGCGAUGGAAAAGGAUACCCUUAGGUCUCCAUCUCAUCUCACACACAAAAACAAAUUUCAGAUGGUUUAAAGACCUAAGUGUGAAACACAAACUGUGAAACUUUAGAAGAAAUAUUGAAGCAUCUCUGGAUGAUACCAGAACAGGGAUAGAUUUUUUAAAGAUGUCACAACAAACUAAAAGAAAACACUGAUAAAUUUGACUAUUUUUAUAAACUUCCAAAUGAGAGGAGACGUCAAAAGUAAACAGAUACUGCAAAGCCAAAAUGCAAGCCUCAGAUGAGAGAAUACAUGUGCGGAGCAUAUAACUAAGAGUUGGUUUUCAGAAUGUGAAAAGAAACUUUAAAGUCAUUGUAGAAAACAUAGUCAACUCGAGUGAAAAAUAAAAAAAUCCCCAAGACGGGCAGUUCACAGAGGAAUAAACUGAAAUAGCCAAUUAACAUUUGAAGAGUGACCUCACUAGUAAACAUAAAAGCAAAUUAAAGCAAUGAGAUUUAUUUUAUACUUAUGGAAUUGGAAAAAACCCAAACAUCUGAUGACUCUAUGUAUAGGUGAAAAGUACGGCAAAGUGGAACUCUUACACAUUGUGGACAGGAGUGUAAUGAUCAAGAACUACUGAGGAGUGCAAUCUGGCAAUUGUUAGUAAAGUUCAAGAUGUACACUCCACAUCACAUCUGGAAAUUCCCCUCAUAUAUAUAGGUGUCUCUGAGCCUGGCUCAGACAUGUCCACUAGAAGAGUUGAACGAGGAUGUUCAUUGCAAUGCCAUUCAUAAUAGUAUGAUUGGCCUCCAUAUCUAUCCAUAAAGAAAUACAUACAUUAUGAUUUAGUUAUAUAAUAAAAUGCAGUAGAGCAAUUUAAAUGACUGUACUAGAUCUACAUGUGUUGAAUUGGACAAAUCUCAAAAAUAUACUAUUGAUUGAAAAUAUCAGUUGUGUGCUCACAAUAUAUUAAGUUUUAAACUUGAUACCUCAGCAAUAUUAUAUAUUGCAUAUACGUUAGGUAAGGCACCAAAACAAGCAUGGAAUUAUACACACUAACCCCAAGAUGAUGGUUACCUCUAGGACUGAAGGAAGGAGAGAGCGGAGUAUGUAUUUGUGUGUGUAUAAAAAGUCUGAAGUAAUUGUGACAAAAUAUUUAUACCCAGUAAAUCUGAACAUUGGGCACACAGAUCUGUUAUAUUUUCCAUGUAUAUUUUUCUAUGUUUGAAAUACUUUAAAGUGAAAACACAUUAAAAAGAAUAAAAAGGGAAGUAUUUAGAUAUGCCUUUCCCCUGUCCAAAUGGCUAUAGAUGUACUGAGAAAUUAUUUCAGUAUAGAACAUUUAAAACUACAAAAAAAAAGUUCAAAAUAUAUAUAGUUGAGACUGUAAGAAAUGAAUGAACUCGAACAGAGAUAGUUGGCAAAAUCUAAAACUGGCAUUUCCCCUGGGCCAUCAGCCAGACUUUUAUAACCUAGAGCUUGAGUUAUAAAAGGCUACAAGGGUCAUAGAAAGCCAAUACUGGAUCCACAAAAGGUGGAAACUUGUAUAACAGACCCUUACAUAAAGGUAGGUUUCCUCAGACAACAUCACCACAAAUGAAUGGUCCAGAUAUAAACCUGCCCAAUAGAUGCAAUGAGGAUUUAUGUCUGUCACAGAACUCUCUCAAGUUUAGAAAGAAGGGCAGGAGCCAGAUCAUUGAAGUCUGAUGUGACAACUGACUAACAAUAUAUUCAUACAGAUUUUCUGGGGGGAAAAAAGCAAAAGGAAAAAGAAAAACAGAUGGUAUGGCACUCCCCUAGAGGGAAAGACUUGGGUAGAAGUAGGCAUGAAGACACAUGAGUAGGGCAGGGUAUGAGAUUGAAAGGAGAGGAGAGAGCCAGGAAAGCAUGCCACCUCCUUUCUCAUGUUUCAUAUGGCCAUCUCUCACUUGUAAGGGCCAGGACAAGAGGCAGAAGUGAUGUUCAACCGAAAGAGAAUGAAAAUAAUGCCUUUGUUACUGAUCCCCUUCUAAUCCUGCCGUAGAUUCUUAACUUAAUCUCUGCUUUUUUCUCCACCUUCCUAAAGCCUACACAUCUUCGUAAAGUCUAGCUUAGACUCACUUUCCCCAUGAAGACUUCUCAAACAACUCUUCUUUGAAUGCUAUAGUCUGUAUUAAAACUUGAGCAUAGGUCAUCUUAUUUUACAACUUAUCAUUACUUGGUUUGUGUUUUUCUUGUUUUCCCAUUUGGAUUACAAGUUGUUUUGCAGUCAUACAUAUCUUAUGGAGUACCUAACACAGUGUUAAACAUUAACAAAUUCUUAUUAAUUGCUAGAAGGAUUAUAGUUUCAAUAAUGAGUGGCAAAUCUGAGGGGAGGAUUUACCUGUCAAAAGUGUGGCCAUUCCUACUAUGAGUUCUACCCUUGAAUCAGGCAUUAACUGCUCUUUUUGACCUCAAUUCUGUUAGUACUAUAAUGGUGAAAUAUUUGGUAAUAAUCAUCUGUCAUAAGUGUGUGUGUGUGUGCGCAUACUAAUUACUUGAAGCUUUUUUUUUUUUUCUUAAAGCUAUAUGUUGCUCACCACUAUUUGAUCUCAGGCUUAACAGUUGAGGUUUAGGGUUACAAAAAUGGGAUCUAUCUAUACCUGAUUAAGCAGAAUCAGAUAUUAAUUGAAGGAUUUAGGGUGGCUUAAAGAAUCAAUGAGGAGUUUGGAGAAUCCAAGCUGGACCUGAACCACAGAAGACAAAAACUUGAGAUAGAAUACUGUAUGUUAGAAUCUCUUUUGUUGACACCGCUGUUGCUGGACUCUCUUCAGCUUACCAUUGGAGUCUAUUGCCCAUACUUGCUCCACAGCACUGGGCUCUCAUCUCUGUGGAAUUCACUGGAAGACAGGUCAUGCACCUUUGCAUCUCAUUCUUAACACUAAAAAUCUUGGGAGUAUCUGUUUGGGUGGGCUGAAAUCGCCCCUUUAAAGGGUUGGGGAGAUAAUAUUAGUUCCCCUUUGGCAUCAGCAGUGGAAGGUGCCUGCCAUCCAUCUUGGAAUUCUCUCUGAAUAUGAAGAGUGCUUAGAUGCUGGGAAGACAAAAUGAAAUGAGGCUAUUGCACAGGAAGAAAAAGGGGAAAUUAAAAUCAAAUGCAAAAUGACACUUCUAAUCCAUAAAAUAUAUUAAGCAUAUUUAUAGUGCCAUGUUGUUUAUAAUAUCAAAUACAUUGAAGAAAAGAUAUAGUUCUGUAUGUUUAAUCAAGUUUGUAAAUUUUGUAAAGGUACUGCUGAUUUUGUCAUUUCUGAGCAGCAAUAAUUUUGGCGGUAAUUGUUACGUAGGAUCCACACAGUUCACCUUUCUAUAAAGCAGCCGCGGGAUGAGCUCUUUUAACUUGGGACAUCUGAAGGCAUCGAAAGGGUUAGCUGAGAAUGGCUUAACAUGUCUUAAAUGAGAAUAUAUUAACAUAUACACAUAUGCAUUACUCUUGAGAGAACUCAGGUAUACAGAUAUAGCACUAACUGUGGUUUACAACAGCGUCUCUGUAUAAAAAUCUCAAAUUUCUCCUUGUUAAUAAA